GCGGCGUGCUUAACACAUGCAAGUCGAGCGGUAAGGCCCUUCGGGGUACACGAGCGGCGAACGGGUGAGUAACACGUGAGUAACCUGCCCCUGACUCUGGGAUAAGCCCGGGAAACCGGGUCUAAUACCGGAUAUGACUCCUGCUCGCAUGGGUGGGGGUGGAAAGGUUGGUUUUCCUUCCGGUCGGGGAUGGGCUCGCGGCCUAUCAGCUUGUUGGUGGGGUGACGGCCUACCAAGGCGAUGACGGGUAGCCGGCCUGAGAGGGCGACCGGCCACACUGGGACUGAGACACGGCCCAGACUCCUGCGGGAGGCAGCAGUGGGGAAUAUUGCGCAAUGGGCGGAAGCCUGACGCAGCGACGCCGCGUGGGGGAUGAAGGCCUUCGGGUUGUAAACCUCUUUUACCACUCACGCAGGCCUUGGGUUUUCCUGGGGUUGACGGUAGGUGGUGAAUAAGGACCGGC
rnacentral:rRNA from 1 species